rnacentral:rRNA from 1 species
CCUACGGGGGGCAGCAGUGAGGAAUAUUGGUCAAUGGGCGGGAGCCUGAACCAGCCAAGCCGCGUGAGGGAAGAAGGUACAGCGUAUCGUAAACCUCUUUUGUCAGGGAACAAAGGCGGGGAGCCAUGCCGGGCCCGCGUGCCCGGAGGGAGAGUACCCGCAGAAUAAGCAUCGGCUAACUCCGUGCCAGCAGCCGCGGUAAUACGGAGGAUGCGAGCGUUAUCCGGAUUUAUUGGGUUUAAAGGGUGCGUAGGCGGAUUUUUAAGUCAGCGGUAAAAUGUCCGGGCUCAACCCGGGCCGGCCGUUGAAACUGGGGAUCUUGAGUGGGCGAGAAGUAGGCGGAAUGCGUGGUGUAGCGGUGAAAUGCAUAGAUAUCACGCAGAACUCCGAUUGCGAAGGCAGCAUACCGGCGCCCGACUGACGCUGAGGCACGAAAGCGUGGGGAUCGAACAGGAUUAGAUACCCUUGUAGUC